CCUGUUCAUACCAUCUGGAGUGGAAAAUCUUCAUAAUUACAGGGAUUGGUAGACUAUUCAAGAGUCUUGCCUCACAGUGGAGAAAAUUUUACCCUAGACUAAAUGUUGCUCUGCUCUCUCCUUACAAAGCUUAAAGGAAGACCCAAUAGGAUAAAAUUGUUUUCAAGUCACUUAACUGCAUCCUAGAAUGAACUCAAGUAUAUUUAUAGGAAUACAAUAAUGUACAGCCCUCAACAAGAGAAAUUUCACGAAGCUUGGCACACAUUCAAGAAUAACGAGGCAUGCAAAGAAGUAGGACAAAUGCAACCAUAAUACAGAGAAAAGCCAAUCAAACAGACCCAGUAAUGACACUGAUGAUGGAGUUAGUAGACAAGGCCAUUAAAACAGUCAUUAUAACUGCGUUCCAUAUGUUUGAGAAACUUGAACGUGAUAAGUAGAGACAUGGAAGAUAAUUUUGUUGCCUGGGCUUACCCUUCAGACUCUGCUUCUUGAACAGUGUCAGUGGCUGUAAUCUCAGUUCAGAUCUUUCAUCUUUAACUGAGCUGCUUUGAGUCUUCUGCAUAGGUGUGGUUUGAGAGUCGGUCAGACUGGGUACACAGAAUGGCCCCCACCACCGCAAUUCUCUUCAGUGUUCAUAGUAGUCCAGCUUCAAUUUUCUGGUUCCCCAGGCCAGAAAGAAGGGAUGCUUGUUUGUCCACAUGCACCCCAACAGCUGCUGUGUGCACUAUAUGGAGCCACAGAGAUGGGACCUUUCCUGGGCAACUUCUCAUCUCCCCUGUCCAAGUACACUGGAACCAACUGGAAGAGCACUAAAUUGUCAAAGCUGGAACAUUUUGAGCAACAAAAUAAAUAAAGUAGUAUAGAGUGAUAGCCUAAUGUGUAAACUAAAUAACCAUGAAUUCAUUCUGAUAUAAAUAAAUGAUUGAAUAAAUAAAUGAUUGGGGGAAAAUAGAUAAAUCUCCCUGGAGAAUUCCAAAUAAUCUACAUAGCAACUCUAGCCUUGAGUAUAUAUGGAAACUAACUACCCACCUCUUCAGUGUGGGCUGUGCCUAGUGACUUCCUUCCACAAAGUAUAGAACAGACAGGGGAAGGAUGGAGAGCAACCUUACAGUGGAGAAACAUGACAGGCGCUACUUCAUCCAUGUGAUCAGGGUUAGCAUCUGCAUGAUAGCUCAUGCCAAUAGUAUGUCCCCUUGAUAUAAUGUACUGGGAGUGGCACUUUACCUCUGCAGUACUCUCCCAAAAACUCCAGUCUAAUCGUGAGAAAAAUAUCAGACAAAUAUCACUGGAGGGGCCCUGCAAACUAUCUGACUAGUACUCAAAUCUCUCAAGGUUGACACAUCAGCAAAAAUGUCAGAAUAAGGACCUGCCAAAGCUCUCUCUCCAUAAAUGCAAUGUUUAAAACUGGCAAAAAUCAUCAUCAGUCAACUCUUUCAAAACCCUGGAAAUUAAUAUCAGGCUUGCAGCAACUUUGAAAGCAUUUAGCCAAAAAUGCUUUCAAACAAACAAAAACUCUGAAUCUCAGUAAGAACAGCAAGCCUUGUGGCAUUUUAGCUUCUUAUUUCCAUUCCACAUUCUACAGCACUGGGGAAGCCUUGAAAAAUAACAGCCUGCACUCCUGGUAUAAGAAGGGGCAGAAUGCACUUAUAAGUGGGAGCUGAGUGAUAAGGACACAUGGAUACAUUAGGGGCACAACACACACUAGGGCCUGUCUGAGGGGAGGGGAUGGGGGUAGGGAGAGCAUCAGGAAGAAUAGCUAAUGGAUGCUGUGCUUAAUACCUGAGUGAUGGGAUGAUCUGUGCAGCAAACCACAAUGGCACAUAUUUACCUAUGUAACAACCUGCAUAUCCUACACAUGUAACCCUGAACUUAAAAUAAAAGUUGAAGAGAAAAAGAAAGAAGGAGAAGAAUGGGGCUGGAACUCUUUCUCAAAGCCUCAGUACCAAAAAGAAGUCAUUAUUUGACCAUUCUAGUUGUUUCUUGGAAGACCUCACUCAAAGGUUUGUCUUUAUUUGACUUCACUAGAAUUAUCCCAGUGCUAGAAGUUUCUCUCUGGAAGACAUUUGUCAAAUGUUUUAAAAUCUUGGCUACUUCAGGCAAUGGAUAACAGUUGGGGCAAACAAUAGACUAAUCCACAGCUUAAAAGGAAAGGCUGAGGAAUGAGAUUUCCAUAGAUGCCAAAAGACCACGGACUAGACAUGGAGCUGUGCACAUGCUCAGGAAAGACCUGAGACUUGAGGCUCUAAGCUCUCAAAGCAGAAUGAUUUUGAGGCUUUGUGAAAGCAGAAAGUGAAAGCUGAGGCAGAGUUGUAAAUUGCUUUGCUGAGUUUUGAAGCUGUGCUUCAACGUGCACUCAGAACCCACUGGCAAAUACACAGAGACUUAUUGGCUCCAGGCAUUUAAGGUAAUGUCUGUCUAAUCAGCUGACCACUAAGCUAAUCAAGUAGAGACUUCAGUGUUCACGUAUGAAAAAGAUAGACUUUAGAGGAUUCGUUCAGAAGUCACUAAAUAGAUAAUAUAAACUACAACAAGCAGCACCAGCAAACCCUGGGUAAUGGAGAGAAUCUGAUUUCCAGAGUUACCAUAUUUAUUAUUUGAAAUGUCCAAUUUUCAACAAAAAAUUAUGAUAUGCACAAAAGAAGCUAUGAUCCAUACAUAGGAAUCAAAUGAAAAUUGUCUCUGAGGAAAUCCAGACUUUGGACUUACUACACCAGCUAUUUUAAAUAUGUUCAAAAAGUAAAACAAACAAACAAAACACCAUGUCUAAAGACCAAAAGGAAUCAGAAGAGCAAUGUGUCCCCAAAGAGAAAAUAUCAAUAAAGGGAUAGUAAUUAUAAAAAGGAACCAAGUAAAAAAGCUGGAGUUAAAAGCGUAACUGAAAUGAAAAAGUCAUUAGAUGGGCUCAAUAUAGGAUGUAAUGCAGAUGUAAGCAGGCAGAAGAAAGAAUCAGUAAAUGUGAAAAAUAGCUCAAUUAAUAUUAUUCUUUCUGAGGAAUAGAAAGAAAAAAGAAUGUAGAAAAAUGAACAGAGCCUCAAAGACCUAUGGAACCCUGUCAAGCACACCAACACAAGCAUAAUGAGAGUCUCAGACAGAGAGAGGGGGAGAGGAAGAAAGAGAAGAGAGGACGGGCAAGGGCAGAAAAAUAUUUGAAUAAAUAAUGAGUGAAAACUUCCCAAAUUUAAUGAAAGACAUUGAAUCUACACAUCUAAGAAGCUCAAUGAACUCUACAUAGUAUAAACUCAGAGAUACACAUCUAGACACACCUUAAAUGGUCAAAAGACAAAGAGGGAAUAUUGAAAGCAGCAAGAGGAAAGUGACUCUUAACAAAUGAGGAAUCCUCAAUAAGAUUAACAGCUGAUUUCUCAUCAGAAACCUUGGAUAUUAGCAGGCAAUGCUAUGACAUAUUGAAAAUGCUAAAGACAAAAACUGUUAAUCAAAAAUUCUAUAUCCAGAAAAACUCUUUAGAAAAAUGAAGGGGAAUUCUAGACAUUUCCAGUUAAACAAAAACUGAGAGAGUUCAUUACUAGUAGAUCCACUCUACAAGAAAUACUGAAGAAAGUCCUUCAGGCUGGAAUGAAAGGAUAUAGGACAGUAACUCAAAUCCACAUGAAGAAAUAAAGCAUAUCAGUAAAGUUAACCACACAGUUAAAUAUAAAUGACAUUUUAAAUGUAUUUUUUGUUUGUAACUCCAUUUUUUUCCUGUCUGAUUUAAAAGACAACUGCAUAAGGCAAUAAUUAUAAACCUGAGUUGAUGGGCACACAGUGUAUAAAGAUGUAAUUUUGGACAAAAACAUAAAGAAAAGGGGAAAAGAGAUAUAUAGGAGCAAGGUCUGUAUACGUUAUUGAAAAUAAGUUGGUAUUAAGCUGAAUUCUCUUGUUAUAAAUUAAGAUUUUAAUGGUAAUUUUCAGGGCAACCACCAAGACAAAACUCAAAAAUCUAUAGUAAAAGAAGUGAUCAUGGAAUUUAAAUGAUUCACUGAAAAUGUCUAGCACAAAAGAAGGAGGUAAUGAAGGAAAUGAGAACCAAAAAAUACAUGGAAUAUAGAAUACAAGUAGUAAAAUGGCAGACAUAAAUCCUACCUUAUCAGUAACUACAUUAACUGUACAUGGAUUAAAUGAUCCAAUUAAAGAUACGGAUUGGCUGAAUGGAUUUUUAAACUAUGAUUCAACUAUAUGCUACCUACAAGAGACUCAUUUUACAUUCAAAGACGAAUAGGUUGAAAGUAAAAUAUAAAGAAAGCUAGACCAUGAAAACAGUAACGAAAAGAGAGCUGGAGUUGCUAUACUAAUAUGAGACAAAAUAUUCUUUAAGACAAUAUUAUUACUAUAGACAAAUUGUAACAACUUAUUUAGGAGUGUAUUGUUUACUUUCCAAAUAUGUGUGAAUUUUUCAAAUUUCCUUCUGUUAUUGAUCUCUAAUUUCACUCCAUUGUGGUCAGAAAACAUACUUUGUAUGAUCUCAAUUCUUUUAAGUCCGCUGAGACUUAUUUUAUGGCCUAACGUGUAUUCUAUCCUGAUAAAUGCUCUAUACGCACUUGCAAAGUAUAUGUAUUCUGCUGUCAUUGAGUGGAGGGCUGUAUAAAUAUGUAUGUAUGUAUGUAUGUUAGGUCUGGUUGGUCUAUAAUGGUGUUCAAGUUUUAUAUUUCCUUUUUUAUCUUUUACUUAGUUGUUCUAUCCAUUAUUGAAAAUGGAGUAUUGAAAUCUCCAACAAUUCUGCCACUGAUGGGAGAAAUAGCAGAAGGAAGGAAAUAAUAAACAUUAAAGUGAAACUAAAUUAAGAGUGGAAAAAAUAAAAAUCAAUGAAACCAAAAGCUAGUUAUAUGGAAAAAUCAAUGAAACCAGAAGCUAGUUAUAUGGAAAAAUCAACAAAAUUGAAAACUUUGAUCUAGACUGACAAAGAAAAACAGAGUAAAAUUACUAAAUCAGGAAUGAAAGAGAGGACAUUACUAUCAACCUUACGAAACCAAAAUAAUUAUAAGGGGAUACUAUCAACAAAUGUAUAUCAACAAACUAUAUAACUUAGGGGAAGCUUGUCUCUUUGUAGAAACCAGGUGGCUUCCUUGAUGAAUUCUACAAAACAUUUAAAUACAUGAAUUCACACCAAUUCUUCACAAAGUCUUUCAAAAAAAUAGAAGAGGAAGGCCAGGCACAGUGGCUCACACCUGUAAUCCAGUGCUUUGGGAAGCCAAGGAAGGAGAACUGCUUGAGGUCAGGAGUUCAAGACCAGCCUGGACAACAUCAUGAGACCCUGUCUCUAUAAAAAAUUUAAAAAUUAGCCAGAUGUGGUAGCAAGCACCUGUAGUCCCAGCUACUCAGUUGGCUGAGGCAGGAAGACCACUGGAGCCCAAGAGUUUGAGCCUGCAGUGAGCUAUGAUUGUGCCACUGCACUACAGUCUGCAUGACAGGGCAAGACCCUGUCUCUCUAAAAAAAAAAAAAAGAAAAAGAAAGAAAAAAAGAAAAAAAAAAAGGAAGAUUCAUUAUCCUAAUACCAAAACAAGACAAAGACAUCACAAGAAAAGGAAAUUACAUGGAAAUGGGUGCAGAGGUCCUCAAAAAAGUACUAGGAAACCAAAUCCAGCAGCAUAUAAAAAGGAUUAUAAAUCCUGACCAACUAGAAUUUAUCCCAGGAAUCCAAGGUCGGCUCAAUAUCUGAAAAUUAAUCAACGUAAUACAUUUCAUCAAUAGAAUAAUAAACAAAAACCAAAUGAUUACCUCAAUAAAUGCUGAAAACCAUUUGACAAAAUCCAGCACCCUUUCACAACAAACUAGUUUUAGGGCUCAGAAAAUGAUACCCCAAAGUGAAGGCCUCAGAGCAAGCCUCAGAAGUAAGGUUUCUCUCUGACCUUCUGCCCUCCUGUCUCUCACCCCUCUUUCUCUCCAGCAAGCCAUAGAAAUUAGAAUUCCUCUUUCCCAAGGUGGAUCAUAGAAUGCUUUUUCCCAGAAGCUAGUUAUAAAACAUGAAAACAUUACUCUAAUCUUCCCCCCACCUUUCUGUGUAAAAGCUGGCCAUAAAGAAAUUAUAUAACCUACCUUGUUUGAUAGUAAAUCAUAAGACCCCCAUUCCAGAAAGGGAUGCCUCAUACCUGAGAAGAAUUAAUGCUGUAUAGAGAGAGUCCAAGAAGAAUGUGAAUAGUCAGGCUGGGUUUCCCCACCUCAAUCUACUAGCAUUAAAUCAGAGCCUUGAUGUUCAAUCAUAUUUCUAUACUGCUGUUCUUUCUUUACCAAAUCUAAGCAUAAAAAUGGAUAGUUUUCCCUGUAUCUUUGGGUCUUUAUUCUAAACCCUCCAGUGUUAUAUAAAACUAUAAUUAAAUAAGUCUGUUAUGCUUUUCUCUUUUUAACUUGUCUUUUGUUAUAGGAGUGUUGGCUGUGACCUUUAUGAUGUCAGGGGAAAGGGAUAAUCUUUUUGCCCCUAGACAAGGAAUACAAGGGCUCUUAUUUAACCUGAUGAAGGGCAUCUGGAAACCCACGGCUUACAUAAUACUUAAAGGCAAAAGACUGAGUCCUUUCCCCAAAUCAGAAAUAAGACAUGGAUGCCCACUCUCACCACUUCUAUUCAAUAUCAUAGUGGAGGUUCAAACCAGGUGAUUGGUCAAGACAAAGAAACGAAGGACAUCAAGACUGGAAAGGAAGAAGUAAAAUGAUUUCUAUUCAUGGAUGAUAUGAUCUUAGAGAAAACUCUAAAGCAUCCACAAAAAACUAUUAGCACUAAUAAACGAGUUCAGCAGGGGUGCAGGAUACAAGAUCAAAAUGCAAAAAUAAUUGUGUUUCUCUACUCUUUCUUUCUUUCUUUUUCUUUAAUUUUCUUUUCUUUUCUUUCUUUCUUUUUUUUUUUUUUUUUUUUUUGACAGAGAGUCUCACUCUAUUGCCCAGGCCAGAGUGCAGUGGUGCAAUCUUAGCUCACUGCAACCACCACCUUCUGGCUUCAAGCGAUUGCCCUGCCUCAGCCUCCCAAGCAGCUGAGAUUACAGGUGUGCACUACCACACCCGGCUAAUUUUUUUUUUUUUUAUAGUAGAGAUGGGGUUUCGCCAUGUUGGCCAGGCUGGUCUCGAACUCCUGACCUCAGGUGAUCCACACACAUCAGCCUCCCAAACUGUUGGGAUUACAGGCGUGAAAUACCAUGCCUGGCCUAUACUCUUCCAAUGAGAAAUUCAAAAGUGAAAUUAAGAAAAGCAAUUCCAUUUACAAUAGCAUGAAAAAGAAUAAAAUACUUAGAAAUAAAUCAAACAAAAGAAAUGCAAGAUUUGCACACUGAAAACUAUAAAACAUGAUGAAAGAAAUUAGCCUAAUUAUUCCUAAUAAUCAAAAAGUGAAAAUCACUCAAAUGUCUAUCAACUGAUGAAUGGAUAAACAAAAUAUAGUAUAUAUACAUAUACACAUUAGAAUGUUAUUCAGCCAUAAAAAGGAUUGAAGUAUGAUACCUGCUAUACUAUGAAUGCGUCUUGAAACCAUUAUGCUAAGUGAAAAAAUGCAGUUACAAAAGGCCACGUAUCAUAUUAUUCUUAUGUAUUUAAAAUAUCCAGAUUAGGCAACUCUAUAGAGAUGGAAAGUAAAUUAGUUGUCGCCUAAGGCUGAGGGGAUGAGGUGACUGGAGGGUGAUAAAGGGUACAGGGUUUCUUUCUAGGGUGAUUUAAAUGUUUUUAAAUUGAUUGUGAUGAUUAUUUCACAACUCUGUGAAUACUAAAAAACAUUGAACUGUACACUUCAAAUGGAUGAAUUGUAUGGCAUGUGAAUUAUAUCUCAAUAAAGAUGUUACCAAAAAAUAAACAACUGUCACGGUCAUCAAAAACAAGGAAAGUCUGAGAAACUGUCACAGCUAAGAGGAGACUGAGGACACUUGAUGACUUACUAUAAUGUGG
rnacentral:lncRNA from 1 species